rnacentral:rRNA from 1 species
GGUGAACGCUGGCGGCGUGCCUAAUACAUGCAAGUCGAGCGAACAGACGAGGAGCUUGCUCCUCUGACGUUAGCGGCGGACGGGUGAGUAACACGUGGAUAACCUACCUAUAAGACUGGGAUAACUUCGGGAAACCGGAGCUAAUACCGGAUAACAUGUUGAACCGCAUGGUUCAACAGUGAAAGACGGUCUUGCUGUCACUUAUAGAUGGAUCCGCGCCGCAUUAGCUAGUUGGUAAGGUAACGGCUUACCAAGGCAACGAUGCGUAGCCGACCUGAGAGGGUGAUCGGCCACACUGGAACUGAGACACGGUCCAGACUCCUACGGGAGGCAGCAGUAGGGAAUCUUCCGCAAUGGGCGAAAGCCUGACGGAGCAACGCCGCGUGAGUGAAGAAGGUCUUCGGAUCGUAAAACUCUGUUAUUAGGGAAGAACAAAUGUGCAAGUAACUAUGCACGUCUUGACGGUACCUAAUCAGAAAGCCACGGCUAACUACGUG